AAUAGAUACCCAGGUAGUCCACGCUGUAAACGAUGGGCACUAGGUGUGGGGGGUGUCGACUCCCCCUGUGCCGACGCUAACGCAUUAAGUGCCCCGCCUGGGGAGUACGGCCGCAAGGCUAAAACUCAAAGGAAUUGACGGGGACCCGCACAAGCAGCGGAGCAUGUGGUUUAAUUCGACGCAACGCGAAGAACCUUACCUGGGCUUGACAUGUCUCUGACAGCCAGGGAAACCUGGUCUCCCUUCGGGGCAGAGUCACAGGUGGUGCAUGGCUGUCGUCAGCUCGUGUCGUGAGAUGUUGGGUUAAGUCCCGCAACGAGCGCAACCCCCGUCGCAUGUUGCCAGCAUUUAGUUGGGGACUCAUGCGAGACCGCCGGUGACAAACCGGAGGAAGGUGGGGAUGACGUCAAGUCAUCAUGCCCCUUAUGUUCAGGGCUACACACGUGCUACAUUGGCGCGUACAGAGGGCUGCGAUACCGCGAGGUGGAGCGAAUCCCUUAAAGCGCGUCUCGGUUCGGAUUGCAGGC
rnacentral:rRNA from 1 species